rnacentral:rRNA from 1 species
UACGAAGGGGGCUAGCGUUGUUCGGAUUUACUGGGCGUAAAGCGCACGUAGGCGGAUUGUUAAGUCGGGGGUGAAAUCCUGGAGCUCAACUCCAGAACUGCCUUUGAUACUGAGGAUCUUGAGUUCGGGAGAGGUGAGUGGAACUGCGAGUGUAGAGGUGAAAUUCGUAGAUAUUCGCAAGAACACCAGUGGCGAAGGCGGCUCACUGGCCCGAUACUGACGCUGAGGCACGAAAGCGUGGGGAGCAAACAGGG